rnacentral:rRNA from 1 species
CAUGAUGCCUACGGGCCAAAGAGGGGGACCUUCGGGCCUCUCGCGUCAAGAUAUGCCUAGGUGGGAUUAGCUAGUUGGUGAGGUAAUGGCUCACCAAGGCGACGAUCCCUAGCCCUGGUCUGAGGAAGGAUGAUCAGCCACACUGGGAACUGGAGACACGGGUUCCAGACUCCUACGGGGAGGCAGCAGUGGGGGAAUAUUGCACAAUGGGCGCAAGCCUGAUGCAGCCAUGCCGCGUGUAUGAAGAAGGCCUUCGGGUUGUAAAGUACUUUCAGCAGUGAGGAAGGGGGUGUCGUUAAUAGCGGCAUCUCUUGACGUUAGCUGCAGAAGAAGCACCGGCUAACUCCGUGCCAGCAGCCGCGGUAAUACGGAGGGUGCGAGCGUUAAUCGGAAUUACUGGGCGUAAAGCGCAUGCAGGUGGUUUGUUAAGUCAGAUGUGAAAGCCCGGGGCUCAACCUCGGAACUGCAUUUGAAACUGGCAAACUAGAGUACUGUAGAGGGGGGUAGAAUUUCAGGUGUAGCGGUGAAAUGCGUAGAGAUCUGAAGGAAUACCAGUGGCGAAGGCGGCCCCCUGGACAGAUACUGACACUCAGAUGCGAAAGCGUGGGGAGCAAACAGGAUUAGAUACCCUGGUAGUCCACGCCGUAAACGAUGUCUACUUGGAGGUUGUGGCCUUGAGCCGUGGCUUUCGGAGCUAACGCGUUAAGUAGACCGCCUGGGGAGUACGGUCGCAAGAUUAAAACUCAA